rnacentral:misc_RNA from 1 species
GGCUAUUCUAGGCAUAAAUGGCGUAUGUUACACCAUCACAGGGGAAUUUAUAACAGUACAUGAAUAUCAACCGAGGCAAUAAGUAAUAUUAAAAAAAAAAAACCCUGAGGCAGUCACCAAUUGUAUGAAAACUUUCUCUACAUGCUGGGUAAAAAUAGAUAAAGCAUCAUGAAAAUCUCUCUCUCUCUCUCUCUCUCUCU